UUGUAGUAGUAGUAGUAGUAGUAGUUGUUGUUGUUGUGGGUGUGGGGUAAGCCUUUGCAACGGCACCCCUGUUCUUCUUGUUCUUCUUUCUCCUUUCGGCGCCACAUGACCCUGCAGAUGCGGCGCCAAGACCAAACGCCUCAAUAAUCAUCAUCAUAUUCUUUUGUGUUGCUUCGUAUGUUUGUGGUCUUAGGAAAUAUUUCUUGUAAGAGCCGAAAUCGUCUGGGAAUACGGUAUCGGCUCGGUUAGGUUUAGUUAGAUGAGGUAAAAGCUUGGGUCAUUAUUAGGUUAGGUUAGGUUAUCAUUAAGUGAGGGAAGAGUUUGGGUCUUUAUUAGGUUAGGUUAGGUUAUCAUUAGGUGAGGGAAGAGUUUGGGUCUCUGUCUUGGUUAGGUUAGGUUAUCAUUAGGUGAGGGAAAAGUUUGGGUCUCUGUCUUGGUUAGGUUAGGUUAUCAUUAGGUGAGGGAAAAGUUUGGGUCUCUGUCUUGGUCAGGUUAGGUGAGGUGAGGUGAGGGUUUGGUCGUGUUUAGAUUAGGUUAGAUUGGGUGAGGGAAAGGUUUGGUCCCGGUCUUGGUUAGGUUAGUUUGGUUAUGGUCAGGUUAGGUUAGGUUAGUUAGGUUAAAGUCUGGUCUUGGUUAGGUUAGGUUAGAGUUUGGUUGUGGUCAGGUUAUGUUAGAGUUUGGUUGUGGUCAAGUUAGGUUAGAGUUUGGUUGUGGUCAGGUUAGGUUAGGUUAAAGUGUGGUCUUGGUUAGGUUAGGUUAGAGUUUGGUUGUGGUGAGGUUAGGUUAGAGUUUGGUUGUGGUCAGGUUAGGUUAGGUUAAAGUGUGGUCUUGGCCAGGUUAGGUUAGAGUUUGGUUGUGGUCAGGUUAGGUUAGAGUUUGGUUGUGGUCAGGUUAGGUUAGGUUAGUUAGGUUAAAGUGUGGUCUUGGUCAGGUUAGGUUAGAGUUUGGUUGUGGUCAGGUUAGGUUAGGUUAGUUAGGUUAAAGUGUGGUCUUGGUCAGGUUAGGUUAGAGUUUGGUUGUGGUCAGGUUAGGUUAGGUUAGUUAGGUUAAAGUGUGAUCUUGGCUAGGUUUGGUUAGGUUAAGUAUCAUUCUUGCCUUUCUCCAUCUACACAGCUACCUAUCUCCUCUCUCUUCUAUUUCCUCGUCCCCUUCACACUUACCUGAUUGCUUUGGGGCAGGUGUUUGUGUGUCCAGGUAUGUUAGGUUAGGUUAGGUAUGAGCCCAGACUUACUCUACACAGCUACCAUGCAUACCUUUAACCCUCUCAUAUAUUUCUUCAUCCCCCUCGCUCGUACCUGUUUGCUAUGGGCCAGGUGUGUCCAGGUGUGUGUUGACGAGUCCUCCCCCCCUCCUAUCGCACGUCGCCGCCCUAUACACCUGUUCAAGGCCACUAAGGACAGCGAGUUCGAUCUUAUGUAUACUGCGUGUCUUCUUCGCGGUGGAGUUUAAUUCUUUGGGGUAGACUUUAAUAUUUUUUUUGUGUGUGUGAUUAUGUCGUCUAUGCUCGGUGGGGGGUGACAUAAGCGCACCUCCACCAUUCCUCCCCCUCCCCGCUCUCCUUCCCUCCUCCCCUCCCCACUCUCCCCUUCCCUUCUCUCCCCGUUACUCCCUACUCAUUCAGAAGGAAGAGGUGAAGAAAUGGAGAAGGGAGUAGAGAAGAAGGGCGAUAAAGAGAGGAAGGGAAAGAAGACUUGCUCUCCUUCUCCUUUCCCUUUCUUUACUCUUUCCUUUCUUACUUUCUUACUCCUUAAUCCUUACUUUUCUUCCUUAUUCCCUCCUUCUUCAUUAUUUAUUUUCGUCUACGGUUUACUGUUUAUUAUUCUCUCGCUCCUCUUCCUCCUCCUCUUCCCUUUCUUACUCCUUAAUAAUCUUUGCUUACUUUUCUUCCUUACUCCUUUUCCUUGAUUCAAUUUUUGUCUUCGGUUCACUGUGUAUAUUAUUCUCUCGCUCCUCUUCCUCUUCCUCCUCUUCCUUCUCUUCUUCAUUUUCCUCCUUCUCUUCCUCCU